UACGUAGGGUGCAAGCGUUGUCCGGAAUUAUUGGGCGUAAAGAGCUCGUAGGCGGUCUGUCGCGUCUGCUGUGAAAUCUCAGGGCUUAACCCUGAAGCUUGCAGUGGGUACGGGCAGACUAGAGUGCGGUAGGGGAGACUGGAAUUCCUGGUGUAGCGGUGAAAUGCGCAGAUAUCAGGAGGAACACCGGUGGCGAAGGCGGAUCUCUGGGCCUGUCCUGACGUGGAGGAGCGAAAGCGUGGGGAGCGAACAGG
rnacentral:rRNA from 1 species